GAAGUCUAUCACCCCCUCAGCCCCGGCCCGGGCGGAGCGGACACCGGGACGGGUUGGGUUGUCUGGUCUGUCUGUGGGCUGGCGGCUGUAUGGCGUUCUCCCGGAGGCCGCUGGUGCCUGAAGAACCGGGCAGCACUUUAGAGUGACCGCUCAGCGCUGCUACGGCAGUCACCGCGGGUCACACCGGCUCGGGGCCCUCCCCGCGAGAGAAGGCAGCAGGGCGACAGGGACAAGAUGAUUGAAACACUUGUAACUACUGAAGCUCAGGAACUGCUGUACCAGCUCACGGCCCUGUUGGAACAGGAGUUAAGAUGUCAGCCAAAGGCCUCUGGCCUGAGACUAAUCGAAUCUGCUCAUGAUAAUGGCCUCCGAAUGACUGCAAGGCUGCGAGACUUUGAAGUGAAAGAUCUCCUCAGCUUAACUCAAUUCUUUGGCUUCCAUACAGAGACGUUUUCACUAGCUGUGAAUUUCUUAGAUAGAUUCUUGUCAAAAAUGAAGGUACAGCCUAAACACUUGGGCUGUGUUGGACUCAGCUGCUUCUACUUGGCUGUGAAGGCAUCAGAAGAAGAGAGAAAUGUUCCCUUAGCCACUGACUUAAUUCGAAUAAGCCAGUAUAGGUUUACUGUUUCAGAUCUGAUGAGAAUGGAGAAAAUCGUAUUGGAGAAGCUGUCUUGGAAAGUCAAAGCUACAACAGCCUUCCAGUUUCUACAACUAUAUCAUUCGCUCAUUCAUGAGAAUUUAAGCUGUGAAAGGAGAAAAUACCUUAAUUUUGAGAGACUUGAGACCCAGCUUAAAGCAUGUCACUGCAGAAUCAUGUUUUCUAAAGCCAAGCCUUCUGUCUUGGCAAUGUCUAUUAUGGCACUAGAGAUAGAAGAACAAAAACUACUGGAGUUGACAGAGGCAUUGGAAUUUCUGCAGUUGCAUUCCAAGAUAAACAACAGAGAUUUGACCUUCUGGAAGGAACUGGUGUUAAAGUGCCUUACAGAAUAUUCCUCGAGCAAGUGUUCCAAACCAAAUGUCCAGAAAUUAAAAUGGAUUGUGUCUGGACGUACAGCACGGCAGCUUAAACAUAGUUACUACAGAAUAACACACCUUCCUACAAUUCCAGAAACCAGCUCAUAAUAGGUAACCUCUUGAAGACAUAUAACAUAAACGUAGUAGGCCUGUCAUAGAGGCUGGUCUGUUCUCGUGUUCAUGCUUGAGCGAGUGCUGUACCUAAAGGAGUGGCAACCUAAUAUAUGAACGCUGGAGAAAGAACUGAUCCUCUGGUGUGCUGUGGGAGCAGAAAUGCGUUCUACAGACAUUGGGACCUCAUUCAAACUAAAAUGUGGAGUAAAACUGGAGUACAAUAAAACAAGGAGAGAACCAUCCUGUGACCUUGUCAACAGACACAUGAAUAUUUUGGAAACAUGAGCUUAAUAAUGAAGAAUUCAACUCAUGGAAAGAACAUGUAAUGCUUCAGACUAAAGAUCCUUCCAGCAAAUGUGUUCUUUUCAUGAUGAUUACAAUAUUCAGUGUCAGUUUUCAGUCUUAUUUGUUAGACUGUUUACUGUUCAGUGAAAUACCACAGUACCAAUACAAGGAAUUGUAACACCUUAUAGUUUGUAGAGCAGUUUGUGUAGUCUAACCUUGGUUUACUGUAACUGCAGGUGCUGAAUUAUAUAUUUAAUUUUAAAAAUCUGUUUCACUUUCCAAAGGUUAUGUGACAGUAGGAAAACAUCAUGUGCAGUAGCACAGUGCUGCAGUGUCUCAACCAAACUAAAGACUAAUCCUGCUUGAUAUUGAUGACAAUAGCAAAUGCCUGUCAGUCCCCCUGACACGCUGUUUGGGCAGUGUCAUAUGUCCAUGUGUUCCUGCUGGGCAGGGCACUGCCCUUCUCUCCUGGACACUGUGAUACCCACUGAACAUGUCAAGAGCCAGAAGAACGUGCUAGAGCAGAAGAAAAGAGAAACUUUAUUUCGUUACCUUAUAAAAGGUAGUCACUAACACAGCAUCAGGAACUUCAGUAUUUUGUAAGAGGUGUAGUUUACUGAGAUCACAAAUUAUUUCACAGUGUAAAAACUUGAUGAUACAUAAUGAAGGCUGAAGGAAAGUAGUGGGGUCAUCAGUUCGACAUCUGAUGACAGUUUUUCAACUGACAUCAGUUUUUCAAAGUUUCACUGAACAAGGGGUAAAAAUGCUGAUGCUGAAUAGGUACUUUUUUACAGACACAGUAGGAGCAGGGCUAAUGCCCCAUCUUGCCCUGUACAUAGGAGCAAUCUAGUUGAGAAGCACUGAAGAUUGCUUCAACUCCGAUCUCUUUAAUGGUAAGCUUCACAAAAUACAACUGCGUUUUCUGAAGACCGGGUCAGUACUCGAGGCAUAUCAUGCUUCUAGUGCUAAUGAGGAAGUGAAUAAGAGAACGUAUUAUUGUAUGUAAGAUGAACAGAGGGGCUGGGGGGAUGUUGCUAAUGACCUCUUGAAUUCUGCAUCACACGGUGGAGCAGAGGCUGUUAAUAACUGAUUGCUAUAUGAACCGACUUAGUGAAGAAGGAGAGAUCAGAAUGUUCUGCAUAGCGUGGGCUUAGAUAUUAGCCAACCAACCCUUUCCCCUUGAUGGUAAUAGCUAAGGGGGUAAACUGUUAUUUGCAUAUCUCAAACUCAAUUAAAUUAAACCUUUCACAGAAGACUUCAUACCAAAGCUGUAUACUGGACAAAUCAAGCCACCACAUGAACCCAUGGCAGUGAUUGCAUUGUAUAACAUCAAAUUAGGUUUUGCAUCUAACAGUGCUAUCUGUGGAUUGUGCUGGCCUGUGAAAAGCAUAUCUGUGAUUCAGACAAAGGUGUGGCCAGCCUACUGGAGAGGUGGAGAAGAUGCAAUUCUAAAUGUCAUGUCUCAAGAUGCAUACCUUU